CCCCUUGUGGUGUAGUUGGCUAUCACGUUCGGCUGUAAUGGAAACUUUGUAACCGAAAGGUCGCUGGCUCGAUUCCGGCCGAGGGGA
rfam:Exophiala mesophila strain CBS 40295 unplaced genomic scaffold supercont1.4, whole genome shotgun sequence.